GACAGAGGUCACAAGCGUUAUCCGGAAUCACUGGGCGUAAAGCGUGUGUAGGCGGAACGGUAAGUCGGAGGUUAAAUCCCCGAGCUCAACUCGGGACCUGCUUCCGAAACUCCCGUUCUUUGAAGCGCGCAAAGGCAAGUGGAAUUCUGUGUGUAGGGGUAAAAUCCGUAGAUACACGGAGGAACGCCAAAAGGGAAACCAGCUUGCUGGGCGCGUCUUGACGCUGAGACACGAAAGCGUGGGGAUCAAACAGG
rnacentral:rRNA from 1 species